AGUGAACGCUGGCGGUAGGCCUAACACAUGCAAGUCGAACGGCAGCACAGUAAGAGCUUGCUCUUACGGGUGGCGAGUGGCGGACGGGUGAGGAAUACAUCGGAAUCUACUUUUUCGUGGGGGAUAACGUAGGGAAACUUACGCUAAUACCGCAUACGACCUACGGGUGGAAGCAGGGGAUCUUCGGACCUUGCGCGAUUGAAUGAGCCGAUGUCGGAUUAGCUAGUUGGCGGGGUAAAGGCCCACCAAGGCGACGAUCCGUAGCUGGUCUGAGAGGAUGAUCAGCCACACUGGAACUGAGACACGGUCCAGACUCCUACGGGAGGCAGCAGUGGGGAAUAUUGGACAAUGGGCGCAAGCCUAAUCCAGCCAUACCGCGUGGGUGAAGAAGGCCUUCGGGUUGUAAAGCCCUUUUGUUGGGAAAGAAAAGCAGCAGGUUAAUACCCCGCUGUUCUGACGGUACCCAAAGAAUAAGCACCGGCUAACUUCGUG
rnacentral:rRNA from 1 species